CCAAAGAUUUAUCGCUGUGAGAUGGCCUCGCGUCUGAUUAGCUAGUUGGUGAGGUAACGGCCCACCAAGGCGACGAUCAGUAGCCGGACUGAGAGGUUGAUCGGCCACAUUGGGACUGAGACACGGCCCAGACUCCUACGGGAGGCAGCAGUGGGGAAUAUUGGGCAAUGGGCGCAAGCCUGACCCAGCAACGCCGCGUGAAGGAAGAAGGCUUUCGGGUUGUAAACUUCUUUUAUUAGGGACGAUAAUGACGGUACCUAUUGAAUAAGCUCCGGCUAACUACGUGCCAGCAGCCGCGGUAAUACGUAGGGAGCAAGCGUUAUCCGGAUUUACUGGGUGUAAAGGGCGUGUAGGCGGGACUGCAAGUCAGAUGUGAAAACUAUGGGCUCAACUCAUAGCCUGCAUUUGAAACUGUAGUUCUUGAGUGCUGGAGAGGCAAAUGGAACUCCUAGUGUAGCGGUGAAAUGCGUAGAUAUUAGGAAGAACACCAGUGGCGAAGGCGAUUUGCUGGACAGUAACUGACGCUGAGGCGCGAAAGUGUGGGGAGCAAACAGGAUUAGAUACCCUGGUAGUCCACACCGUAAACGAUGAAUACUAGGUGUGGGGGGUCUGACCCCCUCCGUGCC
rnacentral:rRNA from 1 species